AUGAACUGUAAGAGCAAACCUAAUUAUCCACGGCUUGUACUUGGCCAACUCAUCUUUCUACUUGUGAUCUUAUUGGGUUUUGGAUUUCAGUCAACAACAUACUCAUGUCGGGUUCUUCUUGAGCCGCCUCUCCACACUAACUCAUCAGGUCAGUUCUUCAUUAAUAUUACUUAUCUUCUAAUUUUUACAUUCCGAACAUGUUGCAUGAUUAUAUUGUGGUUGACGCAGGGAACCCGGAUUCGGGGCAUACAAUUUGCCGGAGCGAAUCACCACCGGGAAAGCAUGGAUAAAUGAUCGGCAGAUGUAUAUGUAUUAGGCAAACAAGGUCAUCAGUUCUUUUGUUUGGUAGAAAGGGUCAUCAGUUCUUAAUUAUAUUAUUUUCUUCUAUUUUACUUUUAUUUUCCUAUGGGGAAGGUUCGGCCGGCGUGCACACAACUACGCACCUAGGCGUACAUGUACGGCACACUAGUAUCCAAAUAUGUAGACUAAUACGUACAUAUUUAUUUGUAUGCUAUAUAAAUAUCAAUGUUCAGGAAAGCGUAAGGUUUAAAUAAGGCGUUGAGGUCUUGUCUCACGCCUUGGAUGAUUAGGCG
rnacentral:lncRNA from 1 species